GACGAACCGUGCGAACGUUGUUCGGAAUCACUGGGCUUAAAGGGCGCGUAGGCGGGUCGGUAAGUCAAGGGUGAAAUCCCGCGGCUCAACCGCGGAAGGGCCCGUGAUACUGCCGGCCUCGAGGGGGGUAGGGGCGAGGCGGAACGCUGGGUGGAGCGGUGAAAUGCGUUGAUAUCCAGCGGAACUCCGGUGGCGAAGGCGGCGUCGCUGGACCCCCACUGACGCUGAGGCGCGAAAGCCAGGGGAGCGAAUGGG
rnacentral:rRNA from 1 species